AUGCCCGGUGAUUAUAAAAAGACGCGUUAUUCUGAGGAAUAAAACCUGAUGCCAGUCCUCUUCUCCUCUUUCCCUCUUCUCCUACACCAUCUCCUCUUUCCCUCCUCUCCUACACCAUCUCCUCUCUUCCUCCUCUCGUACGCCAUGUCUCUAUCUUCGACUGGUAUCUGGUCCGUUGAAUGCGAUUAUGAGAUAUGAGGGCAU
ensembl:snoRNA SNORD97 small nucleolar RNA SNORD97